UUUCCUGAUCACAACUCUGAAAUUCCAUGAUGUAGGCAUAGCCUUCCAUUAUUUCAUCUUUCCCUGUGCCUGAGCCUUCUGAAAUGUAUUACUGAUCUUCAUUGUGACCUCCAGUUCCUUUAUCUCAGUAUUCUGCCAGAUCAUCAUUUCUGCUCUGCCUUUGAUCUCCUCCCUUACCGCUCUUAACCCCAUAGUUAAUCAGUUCAACUGGACACUUUCCUUGUCUCUUGAUUCCAUGGAUCCUGUGGCCAGAGGUGUGCUGGAGCCAAGUAGACAGCGGAUUGUUACACUUUUAACCUGGUUGUUAAACCCCUGCCUAAUACACUUCAUACCCUCCUGAACAUCACCUUCAGAUGACUCUUACAGCCUGCCUCUUCCAUGCGUUCUCAUAUGCUGCUGAAUGAAUUUUGGGAGCAUCGUACAACCAUGCCAUCUGUGUCUACUACAAAUUGAUGUUAUCUCAUCUCAACUGGAUCCUUAUUGUAGGAAGAUGAGUAGAUCACAGCACAGAGAGGGAGGCAGGUAAUAUUGAAGAGAAAUGGGAGGAGAACAGAAGCCAGCCCAAAACAGCAUAAGUAUGCGAUCUCUAGUGUCCCUAGUUCCAUGCCAGCCUGGUGGCUCAUUCCCAGGUAGCCAAUUGGGCUCAAAUUUGUAUAGAAUGCUUAGCCAAAGAGCUGAUGUAGCAUCAGCAAGAGCUGCCUUGU